rnacentral:rRNA from 1 species
GUCCACGCCGUAAACGAUGUCAACUAGCCGUCUGUUGCCUUGAGCAGUGGGUGGCGUAGCUAACGCGCUAAGUUGACCGCCUGGGGAGUACGGCCGCAAGGUUAAAACUCAAAUGAAUUGACGGGGGCCCGCACAAGCGGUGGAGCAUGUGGUUUAAUUCGAUGCAACGCGAAGAACCUUACCAUCCCUUGACAUCCAGAGAAUUUUCUAGAGAUAGAAUUGUGCCUUCGGGAACUCUGUGACAGGUGCUGCAUGGCU